UGAGUGCGAGCUGCUACGGCAGCGAAGUUGGUGACGUCAAGCUUCCAAGAAAAGCCCUAUACCCGUUAAGGCAUCAUGGCCUGUACCCGAAACCGACACAGGUGGGGUGGUAGAGAAUACCGAGGGGCGCGAGGUAACUCUCUCUAAGGAACUCGGCAAAAUGGCCCCGUAACUUCGGGAGAAGGGGUGCCACCGCAAGGUGGUCGCAGUGAAGAGGCCCAGGCGACUGUUUACCAAAAACACAGGUCUCCGCUAAGUCGCAAGACGAUGUAUGGGGGCUGACGCCUGCCCAGUGCCGGAAGGUUAAGGAAGCUGGUCAGCGCAAGCGAAGCUGGCGACUGAAGCCCCGGUGAACGGCGGCCGUAACAAUAACGGUCCUAAGGUAGCGAAAUUCCUUGUCGGGUAAGUUCCGACCCGCACGGAAGGCGUAACGAUCUGGGCGCUGUCUCGGAGAGAGGCUCGGCGAAAUAGAAUUGUCUGUGAAGAUGCGGACUACGUGCACCCGGACAGAAAGACCCUAUGAAGCUUUACUGUAGCUUGGUAUUGUGCCCGGGCUCUGAAUGCGCAGGAUAGGUGGGAGGCUUUGAUCAUCGGCUUGCGGGUCGAUGUGAGCCAACGGUGAGAUACCACUCUUUCAGAGCUAGGGUUCUAACAGUCACCCGUUAUCCGGGGACUGGACAGUAUCAGGUGGGCAGUUUGACUGGGGCGGUCGCCUCCUAAAAGGUAACGGAGGCGCGCAAAGGUCUGCUCAGGCUGGUUGGAAAUCAGCCGACGAGUGUAAAAGCAGAAGCAGGCUUGACUGUGAGACCUACAAGUCGAACAGGGAGGAAACUCGGCUUUAGUGAUCCGACGGUUCUGCGUGGAAGGGCCGUCGCUCAACGGAUAAAAGUUACUCUAGGAUAACAUGCUGAUCUCCCCCAAGAGUUCACAUCGACGGGGAGGUUUGGCACCUCGAUGUCGGCUCAUCGCAACCUGGGGCUGAAGUCGGUCCCAAGGGUUGGGCUGUUCGCCCAUUAAAGCGGUACGCGAGCUGGGUUCAGAACGUCGUGAGACAGUUCGGUCCAUAUCCGGUGCAUGCGCAGGAAUAUUGAGAGGAGUUCUCCCUAGUACGAGAGGACCGGGAGGAACGCACCUCUGGUGUACCAGUUAUCGUGCCAACGGUAAACACUGGGUAGCCAUGUGCGGAGAGGAUAACCGCUGAAAGCAUCUAAGUGGGAAGCCCACCUCAAGAUGAGUAUUCCCAUGGCGUUAGCCAGUAAGGUCACGGGAAGAACACCCGUUGAUAGGCUCUAUGUGGAAGCGCAGUAAUGCGUGAAGCAGAGGAGUACUAAUAGACCGAGGGCUU
rnacentral:rRNA from 1 species